UGUGACAUAGAUCAGGCGAUCUCCAAUGUGU
rnacentral:piRNA from 1 species